UAAACAACAAACAGUCCAGAUGAGUCUUUGUGGAGUAGCAUGCCUUGGUGUACUUUACAAAAUGUGCCAACGCUGUUCAGACCUUUGCGGUUGCUAAGAUGUUUUUAGAAGAUGUUGCUUGUGCUCACUGAGGCUACACUUGCCGAAAACACAGAGUCUCAUCAACUACAGCACAAGGACCAACUGCUGAUUAACAGAUUUGUUUUUCGAACCGGCAAUGUGCAAG